GUCCCUGUAGCGUAAUGGAUAGUGCGUUGGACUACUGAUCCAAAGGUCAUGGGUUCGAAUCCCGCCUGGGAUG